GAUGAAGAACGUAGCGAAAUGCGAUAAGUAAUGUGAAUUGCAGAAUUCAGUGAAUCAUCGAAUCUUUGAACGCACAUUGCGCCCCUUGGUAUUCCGAGGGGCAUGCCUGUUCGAGCGUCAUUAUAACCCCUCAAGCUCAGCUUGGUGUUGGGGCCUGCUGCACUGGCAGCCCUUAAAAUCAGUGGCGGCGCCAUCUGGCUCUAAGCGUAGUAAUUCUUCUCGCUAUGGAGUCCUGGUGGAUGCUUGCCAUCAACCCCCAAUUUUUCUAUGGUUGACCUCGGAUCAGGUAGGGAUACCCGCUGAACUUAAGCAUAUCAAUAAGCGGGAGGA
rnacentral:misc_RNA from 1 species